AGAGUGUCGGGAGGCAGGACCGUUAUUCCUGCCGAGCAGGGGAGAGAAGAGAGACCCUGAAACACGCGCCACCUAUCUUUGUGGGGAGGGAUAAUUGAAGCGCCCUGAGCGUGAGCAUCAUGUGAAAACGUGAUCGCCAAGUUUCUCUCUGGGAAAGGAUCUGGGAUAGAUUAUACCUUGAAGUCUCCGCAAACGCUUUAGUGGAAGAAAUGAAAUUCCACCUCCCUCCCUUCCUCUCUCCCUCCCUCCCUCCCUUCUCCACGCCCCCCCAACCCCCCCCCCCCGUCAAGUCUUUGGCAUCAUUAUCCUCAUCACUAAAUCCUUCAGAGUACUGGGCGGAAAACGGUGCACACCAUUCACAGAACUGGAGAACUCCGAGGGGCGAAAGUUAAAGGGAAAGAUCUUGGAUCUUCCAUGCAGAUCUCUUUUCUUACACAGAUAUCUCUGGUGACUAGGCUUGAGGUGCUCAUCAAGUUGUAUGGAUAUCUCAAGCACCGUUUUUUUUUUUGGGAACUAAAUUCUUGCCCUUCUAUUAUUAUUAUUAUUAUUAUUAUUAUUAUUAUUAUUAUUAUUAUUAUUAUUAUUAUUUUAAAGAUGCCAGAGCUAGGGGAGGAAAAUAGUACUUAUGCACUGCAACUUAGGAUCUCUCUCUCUCUCUCUCUCUCUCUCUCUGUGUGUGUGUGUGUGUGUGCGCGCGCGCGCGAGCGUGUGGAGAGGGGGGGCUUCUGGAUUGGAUCCCUAUAUUAAAAGUACUUUGGCAUUUUAAUAAAGGGUCUCUAGAUUAACACAGAAGUUCACUAUGUUGGCUAACCUUUGGAUCUCUCUACAUGUCAUGCAGACCACACUACUAAGUCAGGGGUUGGGGACAGGAGGAGGAAGGAGAAAGGCUAGAGGAGCUUAGGACUAAAGAAAGAAGAUGGUGACAUUAAACUGUGUGGGGUCUAAGUUUUGAAGUGCAUAUUUUUUGAUAUUGCAAUUAAAGUAAAAUUAAAAAG
rnacentral:lncRNA from 1 species